rnacentral:rRNA from 1 species
AAAGGCGAAAGCAGUCAUCAAGGGCAUACCUGUCGAUCAAGAGCGAAAGUCAAGGGCUCGAAGACGAUCAGAUACCGUCGUAGUCUUGACUAUAAACGAUACAGACCAGGGAUAGGACUCUGUCCAUCUCGACUUCUCCUGAAUCUUGAAGAAAUUACCAGUCUUUGGGUUCCGGGGGGAGUAUGGUCGCAAGGCUGAAACUUAAAGGAAUUGACGGAAGGGCACACAAAGAGUGGAACCUGCGGCUUAAUUUGACUCAACACGGGAAAACUCACCAGGUCCAGAUACACGUAUGAAAGUCAAGCUGAAAGACUUUACUCAAUGAUGUAAGUGGUGGUGCAUGGUCGUUCGUAGUUCGUGGAUUGAUUUGUCUGGUCUAUUCCGAUAACGAGCGAGACCCCAACGUUCCUAAUAGGGGCGACAGCCCGGCUUGCCGCAAGGCUUGCCAGCAGUUGCCUAAGAUUCACUUCUUAGACGUAUCAGGGCCGAUAAGGUCCUUGAAAUGGGUUAAUAACAGGUCAGUCAUGCCCUUAGAUGUUCUGGGCCGCACGCGCGUUACAAUGGCACGUUGCAAAACGUGCCUUCAGUGGUUUUCCCUCGGCCGAAAGGCCUUGGUAACCGCUAACCCUUUGCUAUGACUGGGAUAGAUCAUUGCAAUUAUUGGUCUCUAACGAGGAAUUUUUAGUAAUCGCAGGUCAUUAACCUGCGAUGAAUCUGUCCCUGCCCUUUGUACACACCGCC